UACAGAGGGUGCAAGCGUUAAUCGGAUUUACUGGGCGUAAAGGGCGCGUAGGUGGUAAAGCAAGUAAGAUGUGAAAGCCCUGGGCUUAACCUGGGAAGUGCAUCUUAAACUGCUUAGCUAGAGUUAUGGUAGAGGGUAGUGGAAUUUCCGGUGUAGCGGUGAAAUGCGUAGAGAUCGGAAGGAACGCCAGUGGUGAAGACGACUACCUGGACCAAUACUGACACUGAGGCGCGAAAGCGUGGGGAUCAAACAGG
rnacentral:rRNA from 1 species